rfam:Schistosoma mansoni strain Puerto Rico chromosome 6, complete genome
GUAAUGGCCCUUUUCAGGGCCACUCAAAAUUUGACUUAAAUUUUUU